UGGGCAACCUGCCCUCAGCUCUGGGAUGACUCCAAGAAAUUGGGGCUAAUACCGGAUAUGACUGCUGACCGCAUGGUCUGGUGGUGGAAAGAUUUAUCGGCUGGGGAUGGGCCCGCGGCCUAUCAGCUUGUUGGUGGGGUAGUGGCCUACCAAGGCGACGACGGGUAGCCGGCCUGAGAGGGUGACCGGCCACACUGGGACUGAGACACGGCCCAGACUCCUACGGGAG
rnacentral:rRNA from 1 species